CCCAAGGUCUUAGAUUUAUAAGGUUGCCUCAUACAGCCGAUUUAGCCACUUCCUGCCAGAUUCCGGAUAUACGUCAUCCGUAGUCGAGCCCAAGGUCUAGCGACUGCUUCACUACUGUAAGCGAGGGAAGGAAAUUUUGGAAUUUAACUAUUUUUUUUUUAAUUUGUCGAGCGUUUUUAGACUCAUAAUCUUCGAAGAUGCCAGGAGCAACAUGUGCUGUUGCAAAUUGUGAUAACAGCCAUUGUAAAACAAAAGUCAUUAGACAGGAAAGUCAGUUAUUUUAGAUUUCCUAAAGAUCCAAUAAUAAGAAGAAAAUGGAUCCAUAACUGUAAAAGAAAAGACAAAUUUAAUCCUGAUUCUUGUCAUGUUUGCUCUGAUCAUUUCACAGAAAAUGAUUUUGA